AAGAAGAGAAAGAGUAAAACAAGUAAUCCGAUCAUGAGACGUCAACGUGCGAAUAUGUAGAACAUAUCAACAUAUUACAUAUAUGGAUCAUGUCAUCAUCUCUGGCCACGUUGCUUAUAUGGUCCUAACGAAUAUGCUUUAUGGAUCCUUUCUUCCUAAUUACAGUACAUAUACAAAAUUAUAUGACUAAAUAUGAUUUAUAUGUGCUACGUCCUUUAGAUAAGCCGUG
rnacentral:lncRNA from 1 species